UACGUAGGUCCCGAGCGUUAUCCGGAAUUAUUGGGCGUAAAGGGUGCGCAGGUGGUUAUGUAAGUCUGGUGUGAAAUUUUUGGGCUCAACCCAAAAAGGUCAUUGGAAACUGCAAAACUUGAGAGCAGGAGAGGUAAGUGGAAUUCCUAGUGUAGCGGUGAAAUGCGUAGAGAUUAGGAGGAACACCAGUGGCGAAGGCGGCUUACUGGACUGUAUCUGACACUGAGGCACGAAAGCGUGGGUAGCAAACAGG
rnacentral:rRNA from 1 species